rnacentral:lncRNA from 1 species
AUGAAUCAGACAAUUCUAGUGAUCACUGUUUUAGCUUGUGUGGCUUUCUCCAUAACAGAGGGUGCAGCUAUAUAUAUUCAGCCUAGGUGCAGAUGUACAGACACUCAAAAAACACAAAUCAAGACUGAGAAGAUUCAAAAAUUUGUGAGCAUUGCUCCUGGACCUCACUGCAAGCGCCUCCAAGUCAUUGCCACUGUGAAACAUAGGCACAUGGAGGUAGAGGUCUGUGUCAACCCCAAUCACAAGUGGGUCAAAGAAGCCAUGGCUAAACUGGAACAGAAGAAAUCUAAGUCUACAACAGUUCCACCACAGCUCCACCACAGUUCCACCACAGUUCCACCACAGCUCCACCACAGCUCCACCACAGUUCCACCACAGCUCCACCACAGCUCCACCACAGUUCCACCACAGUGACAAACUGAUUCAAGAUUCAAACAACAAGAAACAGUGAAAUGCUUAAAAUGACCAAAGAAGUUUGUUUGUUUGUUUGUUUGUUAAUUUAAAUAAAUGUUAUUAACUAUUUAAUUGUGUGAAGACU